AAGUGGGUGACUUUAUGUUCUAGGCCUGUGGCCCCCGGGACGGGCUAAAAGGAAAGACUGGGGGAUCCUGCCUGCCUGAGUGCUGCCUGUUUGGGACUGAGCUUUCCAGUGGAUCGGAUGGAGCGAGUAGGUCCACUUCUGAAAGCUGUCAGGGUUAUUCAAAGGAUUAGGGGGGAAAUGGCGUCAAGGCCCGUUGCAGACUUGAUGAAACCAUCGGACAGUGGCAAAUAGUAUUGUUAGUAGACCGUGUGUCUCUGGUGGUUGUGGGCAAAGCGCUGGAAUUAGAUCCGGGAUUUGGACCCCAGCUUCCUGAUAUGCUGGCUGGGAGACUGGGCAAAUCUCGAGCCUGAAAAGGACUGCUGGUGCUGAGUUGCAAGUGGCCGGGUGCAAGGACAAGAGAGAGGCACGGAGGAACUAAGGGUGGCCCCCAGCUGGCAGCCAGCAGGGAAGCAGGGACCUCAGUCCUACAACACGAAAGAACUGUAUUCUGCCAACACCGUGAAUGAGCUUGGAAGUAGUUCCUUCCUAGGGCCUCCUGUUUCACCAGAACAACCAGACCCACCUGAUGAGACUUCUUUGAUGCACUGGGCCAGUUUGGAAAAGAAUCAGAAUGCCUUCUGUUGAGCUGAUCAAAGGAACACCAAGGAUUGCCAACAGUCACCAGAAGCCGGAUGGGACAAGGAAAGAUUCUCUCCUUGAGACUUCAGAGGGAGCAUGGCCCUGCCGACACCUUUGUUUCUGAUUUCUAUCCUCUUGAACUGUGAGAAUGGAUUUAAGCCACUUUAAGCCACUCUUAAACCACCGCUUGAAGCCACUCGGUUUGUGGCAAUUACAGUAUUCUUAGGAAAAUAAUACACCAAGCAGCGCCUGGGGGGCUCAGUGGGUUGAGCGUCCAACUUCGGCUCAGGUCGUGAUCUUGUGGUUUGUGAGUUCGAGCCCCGCGUCGGGCUCUGGGCUGACAGCUCGGAGCCUGGAGUCGGCUUCGGAUUCUGUGUCUCCCUCUCUCUGCCCCUUCCCCACUCAUGCUCUGUCUCUCAAAAAUGAAUAAACUUUAAAAAAAGUUAAGAAAAAAUAACACACCAUUAAAAAACUGUUUUGAUCCUAUUACAAAUGACAUAUUUUAUUAUUAUUUUUUGAGAGGUAGGUUUUUUUUAAGUUUAUUUAUUUUGUGAGGGUCGAGGGAGGGGCAGAGAGAGAGAGAGAGAGAGAGAACUCCCGCAUGGGGCUGGGUCUCAUGAACUGUGACAUCAUGAUCUGAACCCAAAUCAAGCAUUGGAGGCUGAACCAGCCAGGCACUCCAGAGGUAGUUGGGUUUAAUUUUUGUUUACUUAUUUUUAAAAUUGCGGUAUAAAUAACACAGUGUUCUAUUAGUUUCAGGUGUACAAAAUAGUGAUUCAGCAAUUGUGUGCAUUACUCAGGUGGCCAUCACGCUUUACCCCAGUAUGGAAACCGCAGCCCUUGAUCAGCUGAGUGCCGCUAGGAACCAUCGCCAAGAGGCCGCAGGAAAGCCCAGGGCUUGGGGGAGUCUAGUCGCAGCUGGUGGUAAAGAAAUGUCUUCCAAGGGGCAAAGAAUAAUAUGGGUGAGUUUGGGAAUAAUGGAUAACAAUGGAACAGAGGGUUCUGUGAAUCCUGGGGUUUGAGGAAGGAGGGAUGGGGUAUAAACAGGAGAAAGGAACCGCAGAGAAUUAUGGGGAUCAGGAAAGGAGAAAACAGAACUGACCAGGGGAAGCCCUAGCUUAUUCAGAGCAGCACUAAAGCAAGCUCUGGAUGCAUUUAUCUGGCCAGUGUCAACCAGGUAACAGCUCUGCAUUUAUCUUUGGAAGAUGGUGGAAACUCAGACCGCUCCAUAGUUAUCUGUUCCCUGGAAGGGGGAGGGUUCCAGGACCAGGGACUUGGAUUUGGGGCUUCUUCACCUCGGAGUUGUUCGAGGGCAGGGCAAAGCGAACAGCUACAAAUGAAUGAGUGAGAAAGAAGAUUGUUGUUGGGACAAUGAAUGCCCUGAGCAAGUGGGAGGGAUGUGAUGACAAACGAGGACAUAAGCCUAGAAAGGAGGAAGGGCGACCCUUCCAUCAAAACACGGGAGAGGAAGAGCUGUCGGUCAGCGUAGGUCACGUCAUCUUGACAACCCCCGAACCUCAGCGCUUGGAACAAUACGGGUCUCCUCCUCUGUGCUACAUGUUCAUCAUCGGUUGGCAGGGGAACUACUCUUGUUGAAGGAACAUAGGCUGAUGAUCCACCGCCAUCUUGGAUGCUGCUCGUCCCUGUGCCACAGACAGAACCCCGGGGGGGUCUCUUGUUGGAGGUUCAGGCUUGGAUUAGAGAUGUGCCGCUUUCCUCACAGCUCAUUGACCAGGGUUAGUCUCUCACACUGUC